AGCAAGAGCAAGAUCAUAGGAGGAAAAUGGAGCAGAAGCAGCAGAGCAUAGACCCCUUCAAAGGCAAAACAAGGUUACCCAGUUUUGCUAUUCCAGAAAGAUAUGAACUUCAUUUAAUACCCGAUCUCUCUGCAUGUACUUUUUCUGUCACCGUGCAAAUUAGCCUUACCAUCAAUGCAAGCACCGAGUUUCUUGUCUUAAACGCCCUGGAACUUGUCAUACAAAACACUCACUUUACCAACUCUCAAGGGCAGGUGAGUAGUUUUUAGUGAUCAAAACCUUUUUUUAAGCACAUAGUGAAUUUGGAGUAGCGGGUUUUUGGUGACCCUUCUGGGCCUAAUUUCUUCAGCAGCACAUUCCACAUGAUGUUGUUGUGGAUAAUGAUGAUGAGAUACUAGUCCUAGUGUUUCAUGAGUUUUCUGGGAUUCUCAAUGAGCACCCAAGAGGGUUCUACAAAUGGUGCGUCCUCAUCUCUCAUUUUCAUUUUGCCAAAUUUUGUUUGAUGUCGUUUUUUUUGCUUUGGUUUUUUUAAUAGUAAUACUAUCAUGAACCAUGAUUAUUAUUUUGGAUCAACGCUUACAUAUUAGUUGCCACCAAUAAUAAUCCAAAUACUGUUAUGUGCUUGGAGAAAAUAAUCCUGUACUUCCAUUGGCCCUAAAAUAGAAAUUAUUGCAUGGUCCUAGAACCACCAAGUGUCCAAUGGUCUUGAUCAAGAUUUUUAGUUUACAAGAAAAGAGUUAAUAAAACUCAAUUAGUUGUUAUGUGGAGAUUAGUUGAGACCAUAAUAAUCCUAGACCAUGUAUUAAUUUUUCUUGAAAUGACAACAGUGGGGUGGUGCUAUUCUUUGACUACUUUAAAUCACAAAUAAAUCAUAUAUGCACUAAUAGGGUAAAGGUUAUUUAUACUCUUUCAAUCACAAUCUGCCAUAUUUGAUAAGUUUGUUCACUGUGAUACUAAGGAUCAUUUUUUAUUACUUCACACUCACAGUAUAAAAACUUUUACAUUGUGCAUGCCUGCUGGUAAGUUAUAUGGCCACUGACAUCUUAUUUCCAGAGUGGAACACUUGGAAUAAGUUUCUUCUUGUAGCUGCUGAUGGUUAGAGAAUGGAUGCACUGGAAAAAUCUCAUCCAAUUAAGAAAUCAUUAAGCACAUAUAUGAGAAGAUAUCCAGCUCAAAAUGCAAAGACAGAAGAUCUAUGGAAUGUUCUUUCUCAGGUAUCUGGCGUGCUGUUCAACAUAAUGAUGAACACUUGGACAAGGAAGGCAGGAUAUCCAGUCAUUCAUGUUGAAUUAAAAGAUAGUAUUUUGGAAUUCAAACAGGCAUCAUGAAGUUGCUAUAAAAUUACUAUGUUCAAUUUACUUUGACAAUGCCUUUUAACUUUCACCUUUAAACAUGCUUCUGCCUUACUGGAGACUGUCUGAUGUAGCAUUUGAUUAUGCAGUCACAAUUCCUUUUAUCUGGUCAGCAUGGAAAAUGGGUUGUCCCUAUAACCUUAUCUAUUGGUUCAUAUGAAAGACAGAAAAAGUUUCUUUUGGAGACAAGCCAAGGAAGGGUGGACAUAUGUUGUCUCCUUCGCAAGUAUACCAAGUUGCACAAGUAGUGAUAAGAUCGAGUAUCGAAUUCCAUAGGAAUUGUACUUGUACUCAGAGUUAUAUGUAUAUCUAAUGAUUAAGCAAUUAGUGACUCAAAUCAAAUCUUGUUCAUUAAUUAACUACAAGUAUAAACUAGAAGGAAUUAACUACAAAGCAAGGAAAAUGAAGGGUAAGAAAGCAAACUCAAAGUUGUGGAUGGUGUUGUGAUGAGUUAAAGAAUGUGUUGGGGGCUCUGCUUGCUAGAACUUCUCUUGUAAUCUAAAUUUUUCUCUUUUAACAUUAAUAUAAUUAUUACUUGCAUCUA